rnacentral:lncRNA from 1 species
AGACUAUAGCAGAUGUAGAUGAGGACAUUCGUAGGCCACACAAGGUCAUCAUAGAGCUCCAGUCCUCGCUUAACUCUAUCAAUAGGCAGCUCUCUAACCAGAACACCAUUAUACUAGGUCUGAAGCAUGAUCUUGCUAGUGCUAAUAAGAAGAUUAGGGAGUUAGAGCGCCGCUAAGUUAUCUAGAUUAGAUCUUGAGGCAGUAUAUCUUAGUUAUUCAUCUUUAAAUUCGGUUUAAAUCUAUUAUUAGUUUCAGUUUGCCAUUAGUUAUUUGUAAUAAAUGCCUCAAUAUUAAUCAAGAUUAUUAUUAUUAUUAUGUCUUGUAUGUCUCUACUUUAUUUUUAUGCAAGAAAGCAGAAAACAAGCAUGGGGGAGAUCCCUCGACAUGCCAAACGCACUUCGACCACACCACUCUACGAUUCAGGUACAUACUCUGCACACUUUACACAUACACAUAUAUCUUGGUUUGUGCGGAAUAUUGUCUUCGACAUGAUAAAUUAACAAGAUGUUUCUAAUCAUGAUUAAUCUCACUCUGUGAUAUUUCCUGAAAACUUGCAAUUAGUAAAAAUCAUUUAAAAACCCUGUGUUACUUAAAUCAUUGUGGAAUGUGAGAUGGUAGAGUAUGAGUAUCUUAUUCUUGAUAUCGUUGUUGCUUUAGAAUUUAUUUCAAAAUCUUUAAAAAUUCUAACUACCAUCCUCAGUGUUUUAUAUGCCUGAUAAACAUGAAAAUAUUAACUAUGAUAAUUAUAAAAGCUAUCUGCUCUGUAUUGAGUUUGUUCAAAACGAGUUAGACCCUUGUCGAGAGAUUUAUCAUACUCCUAAGAUUAAGACAUUUAUUCAGAAAGAUUCACUCUUCCGAAGUAUUAUUGCGUUAGAGGCAUGGGCUAUGCAAAAAUAAAAAUAUUUUGAGGAAAUAAAAAGGAGCAAGUGCUCGACAACCACGCAGAAAAAAUGGACAACUGCCCGACAAUAGAAUUAGGGGUACCUCGGUAUCCACAUGAAAAAAAAGAAAAGAGAAUGAAGAAAAUGAUAGCCCAUGGUACCUCUAACAAGCAAUAUGCCAGUAAGAGUUGACAAGUUUUUAAUUUCCAAAGUCUUUGAUCUAAGAGUAUGGCAUUCGUCUCCUCGGAUCCCGUUUUGAUCAGGCAAUAAAUGCAAGGUAAGUAUGCUUGAGAAUUUAUACAAAAUUAAAACAGCCUCAGUGAGAUAUAUAAAAGAUAACGAGUGACCUGAGAGAACCUAUGAGGAUAAAGUUAUGCUAAAUUUCUUUUGAAAAGUAUACAAAAACUCCAAGUGACAGGAUUAAGAAGAAAGGACCUCUACUUUGGCCAUAUAUUUUCCUGACUACGGUACACAGUGGAUUAUUUCAACACCCUGCAGGUAUGAAGAGAAUGUUUUGCAAUGUUUUAACCCUAGAUAUUUUUAUUAAUCAUCCUUUUCUCGAGGACGAGUAAAAGCCUAAGUAUGGGGGUGUUUGUUGACGGUUCUUAAGUAUCAGUUUUAGUUAUCAAAUAAACAAGGAAAAGGACUAAUAUACAAACAACACCUAGAAUUAGGGUUUGAUCUGACAGAAUUCCAC